rnacentral:rRNA from 1 species
CAGUAGCCGCGGGAAUACAGAGGGUGCGAGCGUUAAUCGGAUUUACUGGGCGUAAAGCGUGCGUAGGCGGCUUCUUAAGUCGGAUGUGAAAUCCCUGAGCUUAACUUAGGAAUUGCAUUCGAUACUGGGAAGCUAGAGUAUGGGAGAGGAUGGUAGAAUUCCAGGUGUAGCGGUGAAAUGCGUAGAGAUCUGGAGGAAUACCGAUGGCGAAGGCAGCCAUCUGGCCUAAUACUGACGCUGAGGUACGAAAGCAUGGGUAGCAAACAGGAUUAGAUACCCGAGUAGUCCCUGUCUCUUAUAC